rnacentral:rRNA from 1 species
AAAAGAAGAGGGAAGCGGCAUGCGGAAUUAUUGGGCGUAAAGGGUACGUAGGCGGCUGGUCAAGUCUGGGGUCAAAGGCCACAGCUCAACUGUGGGAAGGCCCUGGAAACUGACCGGCUAGAGAGAGGUAGGGGUUGCGGGAAUUCCCGGUGUAGCGGUGAAAUGCGUAGAGAUCGGGAAGAACACCUGAGGCGGAAGCGCGCAACUGGGCCUCUACUGACGCUGAGAUACUAAAGCUAGGGGAGCGAAUGGG